rnacentral:rRNA from 1 species
CUCAAAUUUGAAAUCUGGCCCCUCCGGGGUCCGUAGUUGUAAUUUGCAGAGGAUGCUUCGGGCGCGGUCCCCGUCUAAGUACCCUGGAACGGGUCGUCAUAGAGGGUGAGAAUCCCGUCUGGGACGGGUGGCCGUGUCCGUGUGAAGCUCCUUCGACGAGUCGAGUUGUUUGGGAAUGCAGCUCUAAAUGGGUGGUAAAUUUCAUCUAAAGCUAAAUAUUGGCCGGAGACCGAUAGCGCACAAGUAGAGUGAUCGAAAGAUGAAAAGCACUUUGAAAAGAGAGUUAAACAGCACGUGAAAUUGUUGAAAGGGAAGCGCUUGCGACCAGACUCGCCCGCGGGGGUUCAGCCGGUACUCGUACCGGUGUACUCCCCCGGGGGCGGGCCAGCGUCGGUUUGGGCGGUCGGUCAAAGGCCUCCGGAAUGUGUCGCCCCCCGGGGCGUCUUAUAGCCGGAGGUGCAAUGCGGCCAGCCUGGACCGAGGAACGCGCUUCGGCUCGGACGCUGGCGUAAUGGUCGUAAGCGGCCCGUCUU